GGAGCGCGGCAGGCGGCCGCGACGGCGGGGAGACAUCCGCCGAUCGAGGAAAGUCCGAGCACGGCAGGACACGGUGGUGGGCAACACCCACCCGCCCCCCACACCACGGCCCGGGGCGAGGGACAGUGCAACAGAAAGCACACCGCCGAUGGCCCCGACCCGAAAGGGCGGGGAUCAGGCAAGGGUGAAAUGGUGCGGUAAGAGCGCACCGCGCGGCGGGUGACCGUCGCGGCCGGCAAACCCCACCGCGUGCAAGGUCAUGCAGCCCCCGGUACGCCGGGCUCGUCCCGGCGUCACGCCCGGUCCGGGCGGAAGGGGGCGGGUCGACCGCUCGAGCCCGUCGGCAACGACGGGCCCAGAGAAAUGGCCGCCCAACGCCCGAAGGCCCGUCACCCCCAAGGGGACCGGGAACCGCGGGCCGGGACAGAACUCGGCUUACCGCCGCGCGGGACCU
rnacentral:RNase_P_RNA from 1 species